CAGUAGCCGCGGUAAUACGUAGGUCCCGAGCGUUGUCCGGAUUUAUUGGGCGUAAAGGGAGCGCAGGCGGUUUAGUAAGUCUGAAGUUAAAGGCAUUGGCUCAACCAAUUUAUGCUUUGGAAACUGUUAGACUUGAGUGCAGAAGGGAAGAGUGGAAUUCCAUGUGUAGCGGUGAAAUGCGUAGAUAUAUGGAGGAACACCGGUGGCGAAAGCGGCUCUCUGGUCUGUCACUGACGCUGAGGCUCGAAAGCGUGGGUAGCGAACAGGAUUAGAUACCCCAGUAGUCCCGGUCUCUUAUACA
rnacentral:rRNA from 1 species